GAUGAACGCUGGCGGCGUGCCUAACACAUGCAAGUCGAACGGUGAAGCUCCAGCCUGCUGGCGUGGACCAGUGGCGAACGGGUGAAUAACACGUGAGCAACCUGCCCCUGACUCUGGAAUAAGCGCUGGAAACGCCGGCUAAUACUGGAUACGAGAAGGUUCCGCAUGGGCACCUUCUGGAAAGUUCUUCGGUGGGGGCUGGGCUCGCGGCUUACCAGCUUGUUAGUGAGGUAAUGGUUCACCAAGGCGACGACGGAUAGCCGGCCUGAGAGGUCGAACAGGCACACUGGGACUAAGAGAGGGCGCAGAAUCGAACGGGAGGCAGCAGUGGAGAAUAUUGCACAAUGAGCGAAAGCCUGAUGCAGCGACGCCGCGUGAGGAAUGACGGCCUACGAGGUGUGAACCUCUUUCAGCGGGGAAGAAGCGAAAGUGACGGUACCUGCUGAAGAAGCACCGGCUAACUACGUG
rnacentral:rRNA from 1 species